rnacentral:rRNA from 1 species
UUACACAUGCAAGUCGAACGAUGAUCCCAGCUUGCUGGGGGAUUAGUGGCGAACGGGUGAGUAACACGUGAGUAACCUGCCCUUGACUCUGGGAUAAGCCUGGGAAACUGGGUCUAAUACCGGAUACGACCAUCUGGCGCAUGUCAUGGUGGUGGAAAGCUUUUGUGGUUUUGGAUGGACUCGCGGCCUAUCAGCUUGUUGGUGGGGUAAUGGCCUACCAAGGCGACGACGGGUAGCCGGCCUGAGAGGGUGACCGGCCACACUGGGACUGAGACACGGCCCAGACUCCUACGGGAGGCAGCAGUGGGGAAUAUUGCACAAUGGGCGCAAGCYUGAUGCAGCGACGCCGCGUGAGGGAUGACGGCCUUCGGGUUGUAAACCUCUUUCAGUAGGGAAGAAGCGUAAGUGACGGUACCUGCAGAAGAAGCGCCGGCUAACUACGUGCCAGCAGCCGCGGUAAUACGUAGGGCGCAAGCGUUAUCCGGAAUUAUUGGGCGUAAAGAGCUCGUAGGCGGUUUGUCGCGUCUGCUGUGAAAGACCGGGGCUCAACUCCGGUUCUGCAGUGGGUACGGGCAGACUAGAGUGCAGUAGGGGAGACUGGAAUUCCUGGUGUAGCGGUGAAAUGCGCAGAUAUCAGGAGGAACACCGAUGGCGAAGGCAGGUCUCUGGGCUGUAACUGACGCUGAGGAGCGAAAGCAUGGGGAGCGAACAGGAUUAGAUACYCCUGGUAGUCCAUGCCGUAAACGUUGGGCACUAGGUGUGGGGGACAUUCCACGUUUUCCGCGCCGUAGCUAACGCAUUAAGUGCCCCGCCUGGGGAGUACGGCCGCAAGGCUAAAACUCAAAGGAAUUGACGGGGGCCCGCACAAGCGGCGGAGCAUGCGGAUUAAUUCGAUGCAACGCGAAGAACCUUACCAAGGCUUGACAUGAACCGGAAAGACCUGGAAACAGGUGCCCCGCUUGCGGUCGGUUUACAGGUGGUGCAUGGUUGUCGUCAGCUCGUGUCGUGAGAUGUUGGGUUAAGUCCCGCAACGAGCGCAACCCUCGUUCUAUGUUGCCAGCGCGUUAUGGCGGGGACUCAUAGGAGACUGCCGGGGUCAACUCGGAGGAAGGUGGGGACGACGUCAAAUCAUCAUGCCCCUUAUGUCUUGGGCUUCACGCAUGCUACAAUGGCCGGUACAAAGGGUUGCGAUACUGUGAGGUGGAGCUAAUCCCAAAAAGCCGGUCUCAGUUCGGAUUGGGGUCUGCAACUCGACCCCAUGAAGUCGGAGUCGCUAGUAAUCGCAGAUCAGCAACGCUGCGGUGAAUAC